AGGGAAAGAGGGAGGCAGGAAGAACAAAGGCAAGUCGAACGGUAACAGGAAGCAGCUUGCUGCUUUGCUGACGAGUGGCGGACGGGUGAGUAAUGUCUGGGAAACUGCCCGAUGGAGGGGGAUAACUACUGGAAACGGUAGCUAAUACCGCAUAACGUCGCAAGACCAAAGAGGGGGACCUUAGGGCCUCUUGCCAUCGGAUGUGCCCAGAUGGGAUUAGCUAGUAGGUGGGGUAACGGCUCACCUAGGCGACGAUCCCUAGCUGGUCUGAGAGGAUGACCAGCCACACUGGAACUGAGACACGGUCCAGACUCCUACGGGAGGCAGCAGUGGGGAAUAUUGCACAAUGGGCGCAAGCCUGAUGCAGCCAUGCCGCGUGUAUGAAGAAGGCCUUCGGGUUGUAAAGUACUUUCAGCGGGGAGGAAGGGAGUAAAGUUAAUACCUUUGCUCAUUGACGUUACCCGCAGAAGAAGCACCGGCUAACUCCGUU
rnacentral:rRNA from 1 species